UAGGGAAUCUACCGCAAUGGACGCAAGUCUGACGGAGCAACGCCGCGUGAGUGAAGACGGAUGUCGGUUCGUAAAACUCUGUUGUUAGAGAAGAACAGCGCAUAGAGUAACUGUUAUGCGUGUGACGGUAUCUAACCAGAAAGCCACGGCUAACUACGUGCCAGCAGCCGCGGUAAUACGUAGGUGGCAAGCGUUGUCCGGAUUUAUUGGGCGUAAAGCGAGCGCAGGCGGUCAAUUAAGUCUGAUGUGAAAGCCCCCGGCUCAACCGGGGAGGGUCAUUGGAAACUGGUUGACUUGAGUGCAGAAGAGGAGAGUGGAAUUCCAUGUGUAGCGGUGAAAUGCGUAUAUAUAUGGAGGAACACCAGUGGCGAAGGCGACUCUCUGGUCUGUAACUGACGCUGAGGCUCGAAAGCGUGGGUAGCAAACAGG
rnacentral:rRNA from 1 species